UGACAAAGUAGUGCUGGGCGGUAUGACCAAAAAUUUAUAUCACGGUAUUUUUCAAAAUUAUAUCGAUUUCGUGGUAUUUGACGGUAUUUUUUUUUCAAGCAGGACUGGGUGCUAACCUUAUUUUCUAAUAAUUUAGAGAGUAAUUACUGCAGUAAAUUAGCUUGGAAUAACAUAUUUUACUGUCACGAGGAGUGAAUAUUGUAGAAAAACAUUAAUGUCCAUACUAGUAUUGAUAAAGUGUAGGAAUCAGAAUGCAUGACUACUCCAACUGUGCGCUCACCCAGCGAG